UUUUGGUGCUGUCUUGUGCCCUUGUGAGGAAACUCAAGAACAAAGUGGAAACCCCACAAUGUCAGUAUGAUUACCACACAUUGAACAUUUGGAGUGGUCAUGGAAACCAGGUCAUCUAGGUGAGAACGGCAUGCAGCAACCACUUUGCUAACAUGAUACUGUGCCUAAUAUCUUGGGCUUUUGUGGUUUGUGACAGUAUCCCGUACAAGGCAAAGAUGUUCAUGGUGUUUCCACAAUUCAGUGCUGGUGUAAUAGCACAGGUUAUUUGGUUUCAAGGUUGAAUUCUUAUACAAAUGUGACAUUCAAAUGAGCUUUCAGUAACUUAUUGAUGACAAAAAUCAUCUUACCAUGUUAGACAUUUAUGUAUUAAUACUGUAUAUUUCUUCAAACAUUACUUGUAACUCAAUAGCAUGUAUGGGCACCAUUCGUAAAAUUUACAUUAAGUAUGAUUUUCUCCCAAAGUUGUCAUAAACACAGUUUUUACCAUUGAACAUCUCAAAUAAGUCACUUAUACAGUUUUACUAUUUAAAAGUUUAAAUAAGUCAUUAACACAGGCUUUACCAUUCAACAUCUCAAAUAAGUCACUUAUACAGUUUUUACCAUUGAACAUCUCAAAUAAGUCACUUAUACAGUUUUUAACAUUGAACAUCUAAAAUAAGUCAUUUAUACAGGUUUAACCAUUGAACAGCUCAAAUAAGUCACUUACACAGGUGUUAUCAUCGAACAGCUCAAAUAAAUCACUUACACAGGUUUUAUGAUUGAACAACUCAAAUAAGUCACACAGGUUUUAUCAUUGAACAGCUCAAACAAGUCACUUACACAGGUUUUAUCAUUGAACGAUACAAAUAAGUCACUUACACAGGUUUUAUCAUUGAACAGCUCAAAUCAGUCACACAGGUUUUAUCAUUGAACAAUACAAAUAAGUCACUUACACAGGUUUAAUCAUUGAACAGCUCAAAUCAGUCACUUACACAGGUUUUAUCAUUGAACAAUACAAAUAAGUCAAUAACACAGGUUUUAUCAUUGAACAUCUCAAAUCAGUCAUUUACACAGGUUUUAUCAUUGAACAGCAGCUCAAAUAAGUCACUUACACAGGUUUUAUCAUUAAACAAUACAAAUAAGUCACUUACACAGGUUUUAUCAUUGAACAGCUCAAGUAAGUCACACAGGUUUUAUCAUUGAACAGCUCAAGUAAGUCACUUACACAGGUUUAACCAUUUAACAGCUCAAAUAAAUCACUUACACAGGUGUUAUCAUUGAACAGUUCAAGUAAGUCACUAACACAGGUUUUACAAUUGAACUAUACAAAUAAGUCACUUACGCAGGUUUUAUCAUUGAACAAUUCAAAUAAGUCACUUACACAUGUUUUAUCAUUGAACAGCUCAAAUAAGUCACUUACACAGGUUUUAUCAUUGAACAAUACAAAUAAGUCACUUAUGCAGGUUUUAUCAUUGAACAGCUCAAAUAAGUCAUUUACACAGGUUUUAUCAUUGAACAGCUCAAAUAAGUCAAUAACACAGGUUUUAUCAUUGAACAGCUCAAAUAAGUCACUUACACAGGUUUUAUCAUUGAACAACUCAAAUAAGUCACUUACACAGGUUUUAUGAUUGAACAACUCAAAUAAGUCACUUACACAGGUUUUAUGAUUGAACAGCUCAAAUAAGUCACUUACACAGGUUUUAUGAUUGAACAACUCAAAUAAGUCACUUACACAGGUUUUAUCAUUGAACAGCUCAAAUGAGUCACUUACACAGGUUUUAUGAUUGAACAACUCAAAUAAGUCACUUACACAGGUUUUAUCAUUGAACAGCUAAAAUAAGUCACUUACACAGGUUUUAUCAUUGAACAGCUCAAAUAAGUCACUUACACAGGUUUUAUCAUUGAACAGCUCAAAUAAGUCACUUACACAGGUUUUAUGAUUGAACAACUCAAAUAAGUCACUUACACAGGUUUUAUCAUUGAACAGCUCAAAUAAGUCACUUACACAGGUUUUAUCAUUGAACAAUACAAAUAAGUCACUUACACAGGUUUUAUCAUUGAACAGCUCAAAUCAGUCACUUACACAGGUUUUAUCAUUGAACAGCUCAAAUAAGUCACACAGGUUUUAUCAUCGAACAAUACAAAUAAGUCACUUACACAGGUUUUAUCAUUGAACAGCUCAAGUAAGUCACGCAGGUUUUAUCAUUGAACAGCUCAAGUAAGUCACUUACACAGGUUUAACCAUUGAACAGCUCAAAUAAAUCACUUACACAGGUGUUAUCAUUGAACAGCUCAAAUAAGUCACCCAGAUUUUAUCAUUGAACAGCUCAACUAAGUCACACAGGUUUUAUCAUUGAACAGUUCAAAUAAGUCACUUACACAGGAUUUAUCAUUGAACAGUUCAAAUAAGUCACUUACACAGGUUUUAUCAUUGAACAGCUCAAAUAAGUCACUUACACAGGUUUUAUCAGUGAACAGCUCAAAUAAGUCACUUACACAGGUUUUAUCAUUGAACAAUACAAAUAAGUCACUUACACAGGUUUUAUCAUUGAACAGCUCAAGUAAGUCACUUACACAGGUUUUACAAUUGAACAAUACAAAUAAGUCACUUACGCAGGUUUUACAAUUGAACAAGACAAAUGGGUCACUUUCACAGGUUUUAUCAUUGAACAGCUCAAGUAAGUCACUUACACAGGUUUUACUAUUGAACAAUACAAAUAAGUCACUUACGCAGAUUUUAUCAUUGACCAACACAAAUAAGUCACUUACACAGGUUUUAUCAUUGAACAGCUCAAGUAAGUCACUUACACAGGUUUUACAAUUGAAUAAUACAAAUAAGUCACUUACGCAGGUUUUACAAUUGAACAAUACAAAUAAGUCACUUACACAGGUUUUAACAUUGAACACCUAAAAUAAGUCACUUACACAGGUUUUAUCAUCGAACAAUACAAAUAAGUCACUUACACAGGUUUUAUCAUUGAACAGCUCAAGUAAGUCACGCAGGUUUUAUCAUUGAACAGCUCAAGUAAGUCACUUACACAGGUUUAACCAUUGAACAGCUCAAAUAAAUCACUUACACAGGUGUUAUCAUUGAACAGCUCAAAUAAGUCACCCAGAUUUUAUCAUUGAACAGCUCAACUAAGUCACACAGGUUUUAUCAUUGAACAGUUCAAAUAAGUCACUUACACAGGAUUUAUUAUUGAACAGUUCAAAUAAGUCACUUACACAGGUUUUAUCAUUGAACAGCUCAAAUAAGUCACUAACACAGGUUUUAUCAUUGAACAGCUCAAAUAAGUCACUUACACAGGUUUUAUCAUUGAACAAUACAAAUAAGUCACUUACACAGGUUUUAUCAUUGAACCGCUCAAGUAAGUCACUUACACAGGUUUUACAAUUGAACAAUACAAAUAAGUCACUUACGCAGGUUUUACAAUUGAACAAGACAAAUGAGUCACUUACACAGGUUUUAUCAUUGAACAGCUCAAGUAAGUCACUUACACAGGUUUUACAAUUGAACAAUACAAAUAAGUCACUUACGCAGAUUUUAUCAUUGACCAACACAAAUAAGUCACUUACACAGGUUUUAUCAUUGAACAGCUCAAGUAAGUCACUUACACAGGUUUUACUAUUGAACAACUCAAAUUUGUAACACAGGUUUUACAUUCAGACAUCUCAAAAAGUAUUUUAUACAGGUUUAACCAUUUAACAGUUCAAAUAAGUCACUUAUACAGGUUAUAAAAUUGAACAGCUUGAAUUAUAAUUAUUAAUAAAACAAAAGAUUGCACUGAACUUACAAGGCAUUAGACCAUUUGAAUAAAACCUGGAGAUAAUACAUACACAUACGUUUAUUUGGAACAAUCUAUGGUCAGAGAGUUGCCUUGUUCCAAGCAUAUUAAAUCACUGAUGUGGUUUCUAGCCUGUGAUGAUAUUCAAUCAAAUAUUGUUUUGCAACAAAAAUCAAGUAUAAGAUUGUGUUUGGCUAGUGGGUAAAUAGAGGGGUAGCCAGUAGAUAAUAUGUUUGAUAUUGACCUACAAUGUUACAGCUUUGAAAACUAGUAAGCUUAUAUGGCGAUCUUGCUUCUGAGUUCGUUUAGGGUCCGUUGGGUUAAAGGUCAUAGAAAACAAGGCGUGUAAGAUAAGCUCCCAAAUUAUGUCCUUGAUGAUUUGGGGCAUGCAGUAUAUUUAAUGUAAUAGCUAUUGUGUGCAUGUCUAAUUAAUUAUUAUACCCCCACAAAUGAAGUUUAGGGGGGUAUAUAGGAGUGAGCUUGUCUGUCUGUCGGUCGGUCCGUAUUAAGUGUCCGCUCUCUAAUUCAAGUAGUUUUCAUCCGAUCUUCACCAAACUUGGUCAGAAGUUGUAUCUACAUGAUGUCUAGGCCAAGUUUGAACAUGGGCAUUGCCAGGUCAAAAACUAGGUCACGGGGUCACUCAGUGCGUUUUAAACAUUCAGCAUGUUGUCCGCUCUCUAAUUCAAGUAGUUUUCAUCCGAUCUUCACCAAACUUGGUCAGAAGUUGUAUCUAGAUGAUCUUAAGGCCAAGUUCGAACAUGGGCCUUGCCGGGUCAAAAACUAGGUCACGGGGUCACUUAGUGCGUUUUUUAACAUUCAGCAUGGUGUCCAAGUAGUUUUCAUCCGAUCUUCACCAAACUUGGUCAGAAGUUUUAUCUGGAUGAUCUGAAGGCCAAGUUCGAACAUGGGCCAUGCCAGAUCCAAAACUAGGUCACAAGGUCACUUAGUACGUUUUACACAUUGCGCAUGGUGUCUGCUCUCUAUUUCAAGUAAAUUAAAUCUGAUCUUCACCACACUUGGUCAGAAGUUGUAACUAAAUGAUGUGUAGGUCAAGUUCGAACAUGGGCCAUGCCGGGUCAAAAACUAGGUCACGGGGUCACUUAGUGCAUUUUAAACAUCACAAUGUUGUCCGCUCUCUAAUUCAAGUAGUUUUCAUCCAAUCUUCACCAAACUUGGUCAGAAGUUGUAUCUAAAUGAUGUCUAGGUCAAGUUUGAAUAUGGGUCAUGCCGGGUCAAAAACUAGGUCGUGGGGUAUCUUAGUGUGUUUUAAACCUCACCAUGUUGUCCGCUCUCUAAUUAUACCCCCACAAACAAAGUUUAGGGGGGUAUAUAGGAGUGAGCUUGUCUGUCUGUCGGUCGGUCCGUAUUAAGUGUCUGCUCUCUAAUUCAAGUAGUUGUCAUCCGAUCUUCACCAAACUUGGUCAGAAGUUGUAUCUACAUGAUGUCUAGGCCAAUUUCGAACAUGGGGCUUGCCGGGUCAAAAACUAGGUCAUGGGGUUACUUAGUGCUUUUAAACAUUCAGCAUGUUGUCCGCUCUCUAAUUCAAGUAGUUUUCAUCUGAUCUUCACCAAACUUGGUCAGAAGUUGUAUCUAGAUAAUGUCUAGGCCAAGUUCAAACAUGGGCCUUGCCGGGUCAAAAACUAGGUCACAGGGUCACUUAGUGCAUUUUAAACAUUCAGCAUGUUGUCCGCUCUCUAAUUCAAGUAGUUUUCAUACGAUCUUCACCAAACUUGGUCAGAAGUUGUAUCUAGACGAUCUCAAGACCAAGUUCGAAAAUAGGCCUUUCCGGGUCAAAACUAGGUAACGGGGUCACUUAGUGCGUUUUUUUACAUUCAGCAUGGUGUUCUCUCUCUUAUUCAAGUAGUUUUUAUCCGAUCUUCACCAAACUUGGUCUGAAGUUUUAUCUAGAUGAUCUGAUGGCCAAGUUCGAACAUGGGCCAUGCCAGAUCAAAAACUAGGUCACUGGGUCACUUAGUACGUUUUACACAUUGAAAAUGGUGUUCGCUCUCUAUUUCAAGAUAAUUAAAUCUGAUCUUCACCACACUUGGUCAGAACUUGUAAUUAAAUGAUGUGAAGGUCAAGUUCGAACAUGAGCCAUGCCGGGUCAAAAACUAGGUCACGGGGGUCACUUAGUGUGUUUUAAACCUCACCAUGUUGACCGCCUUCUAAUUCAAGUAGUUUUUAUCUAAUCUUCACCAAAAUUGGUCAGAAGUUGUAUCUUGAUGAUGUCUAGGGCAAGUUUGAAUAUUUGUCAUGCCGGGUCAAAAACAAGGUCACUGGGUCACUUAGGGCGUUUUAAACAUCACAAUGUUGUCCGCUCUCUAAUUCAAGUAGUUUUCAUCCAAUCUUCACCAAACUUGGUCAGAAGUUGUAUCUAGAUGAUGUCUAGGUCAAGUUUAAAUAUGGGUCAUGCCGGGUAAAAAACUAGGUUGUGGGGUAUCUUAGUGCGUUUUAAACCUCACCAUGUUGUCCGCUCUCUAAUUCAAGUAGUUUUCAUCCAAUCUUCACCAAACUUGGUCAGAAGUUGUAUCUAGAUGAUGUCUAGGUCAAGAUUGAAUAUGGGUCAUGCCGGGUCAAAAACUAGGUCACGGGGUAUCUUAGUGCGUUUUAAACCUCACCAUGUUGUCCGCUUUCUUAUUCAAGUAGUUUUCAUCCAAUCCUCACCAAACUUGGUCACAAGUUUUAUCUAAAUGAUCUCUAGGACUAGUUAGAACAUGGGCCAUUCCGGGCCUAAAACUAGGUCACGGGGUCACUUAGUGCGUUUUUUAACAUUCAGCAUGGUGUCCGCUCUCUAAUUCAAGUAGUUUACAUCAGAUCUUCACCAAACGUUGUCAGAAGUUUUAUGGAGAUGAUGUUAAGGCCAAGUUAGAACAUUAGCCUUUCUGGGUCAAAAACUAGGUCAAGGGGUCACUUAGUGCGUUUUAUAAAUUGAGCAUGGUGUCCGCUGUUUUUUGUGAAGACGACAUGCAAAAUAUUAUGUGUCAAUGCGGCAUGUGGGGGUAUUCGUCACGUCUGUGACAAAGCUCUAGUUCCAUGCUCAUGUAAUACUGACACUGUUAAAUAAUAUACAUGUAUUUCUGAUGUCCCUUUAUGCCACCCUUAAUUGACAAUUUUCUGGAAGACUUGUAGGCUGAUUAUGUUAUGGAUGUCAUUUCGAAUUUCUGAUUUGUAUGCUUCAUAAAAUGUUCAGGGAGCACAUAUACAGUAGCUACUGUGUCCACCCAUCCUUCCAUCUGUCCUUCACUCACACUUUCUCGACAGGACUAUUUUCCAGCAAUAAAUGGCUGGAAUUACAUGAAACUGGACACCUCAUUACAAGAGGAGAUGGGAAUACUACCACUGUACAUCAUUUACUCUUGUGGGAAUUCUGUGAUAGUCCUGGUACAUUUACCUUUCUUGCUUGUCAGGGGUAGACCAUGGAAGGAUGAGAUCCUGGAUUCUCACCUGAUACUAAAAUCUAACGUCUGGUUCUGGUACCUAAACCCAUUUUCAACCUGGUAUUCUCUUCUUCUGUGGGCAAAACGAAGUGAGGGGUCUGCCAAAUAUUCAUGCAACCUGUUCUUGGAAAGGAGAUGGUUGCGGCCAAGAUUCUGAGAAAGGACAUGAUCAGGACAACAAGCCUGAUUAGUCGAACUAGGAAAAACAAGGGUGGAUGCGACAAGUUAGCUACUGGAUCUAAGAUAUUGAUAAAGUUAUCAAUAAAGGGGACAACCAUAGGAACAUACAACGUAAAACCAAUCCAUGCGUGCAGAAAGAACUGAUGCAUGUGCUGAAGUGUUACCGCUGGGACUACAAAGGAACAGAGAGCAAAAAGUUUAAUGAACAAUUAGAGCACAUCAUAGCCAAAGUUCCGAAGAAAGAUAUCCUCAUCAUCCAAGGCGACAAGAAUGCCAAGUUUAGACCAGAAGCCUACCAGUCGGGGACAGCAAGGCAUAGGAAAGACAAACAACAUAGGGCUGAGACUUCUUGAGUUUGCAAAAUGCCACCAACUCACCUUGCCCAACACACUGAAACCACAAACACCGUCAAGAAAAGUGACCUGGCAUGCUCCAAACAGGCAAGUACACAACCAGAUUGAUUUCAUACUGGAGCUGCAUGGUUCCAAUCAAGCAUCAACAAGGCAAAUGCAAGAACGUUUUCUAGAUAUCAGAAUUGACCAUGGCUUAGUGCUCACCACAAUCAAGGUGAAGUUAAAGAGCAAGUGCAUCACACACAAAAAUUGAUUUCAUUUGGAAAAACUGAAAGAUCCAGAGAAAGUAGAGGCCUUUCAAGCACAGAUAGCUGUCAAGUUUGCAACCCUGAGCAUGCUAGAUAGUAGCACCAUCACCAACAACAUCAAGGAGGUUCUUGUGAGGAAGAGGAGGAAUAACAAGCGGUGGGCGAGGACCAAGAUAGUGUACCUCUGCAACAAAAGAAGAGAGCUGAGGCAUAAGAAGUACACCAGCCUGGACUUUAGGACAGAGUACCAGAAAGCAAACAGGGGGAAGAAGAAAAAGAUUAAAAAUGAAAAGGAAGAGUGGAUUGAUGAGCCAGCACCAUUGACAAAAAUGUCACCACAGGCAGCAUUAAGAAGGCCUACAGCACCCUCAUAAACCCUCACAAAGACCAGGAAGCCCACGACCAGUAUUUAUAGCAGACGCUGACGAGAACCUCCUCGCCGAGAGUGCCGCAGUUCUGAACAGGUGAACUGAAUAUACCAUUAUAACAAUAACACCAGUACCGCUGAAGUUCGAAUAAGAUUUGCCAUGGCUACCGAAAUUUUAGCCAGACUGAGCAGGUUGUGAACAAGCAGCUCCAUCAGCUUCCUUACCAAGUACAGGCUUUACAAAUCCCUCGUAGUCUCCGUCAUACUGUGCGGCUGCGAUGCCUGGACGCUUCACGCGGACACAGAACGCAGGAUACAGGUCUUUGAACAAAGGUGUCUCCAAAGACUGCUCCGCAUCUUCUUCCUGGCGCACAAGUCCAACGCAUUGAAAGCAGCACGUGCAGGCCCACAUAAAACCCUCCAGGUGACCAUCAAACGACGAAAGCUGGUUUGGUUUGGACUCUUAAUAAGGCCUGACUCACUGUGCAAGACUGUGCUCCAGGGUACGCAAUAGUGAGGUCGCCGUCGACGCCAUCAGAACAAAAGCUAGAUAGACCAAGUGUAAGAGUUGGCGUCCAUCCCUUUGACUUAAUUACCGGUCAAAUGAAAGAUGAUUACGUUUGCCCUGUCGCCUUCGAAAUACAUGUAUGUUCGUUUUGGUUAUUGGAGUAAAUUUAAUCAACGUAGGCGUCCUACUGUGUUCACAUCUUAAACGAUCUUCGUGUGAUGUUGUUUGUGAUGACUUUUGUUGGCAGUUGAAUGAAAAUUGGACGGUGCAACGUGUUUGUACGAAAUAGUGGGAUUUCUGUGCGUGUAUUCUGUUACUCAAAACGUCUUUCGAAAAUCAUACGGAGUGAACGCGUCAUAGAUGUCAUUCCGCUUCCGUUCAGAGACGUAUAUACCUGACAAUCAUUCUACUGCCUUGGAGCGAUACCCAAUCGAACAUCAAUCACUAAACAUACUAAAAACCAUGGGUUUGACGUAAGGACUCCACACAAAAGAAAGAAGGGAACAAUCAGCAACCUCGGCGGAAUUCCGAAAGGCGUUCAGUCCAUUCGGGAAAAUACUACAAACUUAAUGAAGCAAAAUUACUACUUUAAGACUUGGCAUUACAUCUAAUGAUUUAAACAAACUCUAGAUAGAAAAAGAACACGACCCUUUUUAUAAUACAUGAUUUGAAGUGACUUUGACACUAAAUAGGGAUUCAUAUUCACAAUGUUUGUUUGUUUGUUUUUUAAUAAUAAAUUAAUGAUAUGAUUUAAGCAAAGAAUAAGUAAUUCAACAGAGAUCAUUUCAUGUAUUUGAACAUGAAAUUAUCAAAUUAUUUUAAAGUGUGAUUGUUUAACCUUGUCUGAAUUGUGAACAUUCUAUAUAACCGUACUAAAUUUAUAAAUUGUUGUCUUGUAAAAGUUAUAUAUGUAUAUAUUUUAAGGUACUGUCAAAGUCAUAUAAUAAAUUUUAAUGUCAAAUAAUAUUUUUGUAAGUUGCUUAGAUGCCCAGCGUUUAACCAAAAGUGCUAAGCUCAAGUGAUUUCAUAACUGGACAACUAUACGUAUCGCAUACAAAUUGCAAAAUUGUUCAAUAUCGUUUUGCGAGGUUCAGAUUGGGUUUUACUGGAAAAAAAUCAAGAAUAAUCCCGGAUGUAAACCUGAAGCAUACCAAUUCAUAUUUUAUUUUGAAUCUUAAAUUACAUACCCGUAGCCAGAGGGGGGGGGGGGGGGUGGGUGCGUUGGGUGCGUUCGCAACCAAUGUUAAAAAACUUGUACUAUAUGUUGCACCUAACUUUAUUGGACGCAAAAACGGUUAUUUAUUUGUUUCAAGGAACCAAGUGAGUCUUCGUAUUUAAGCGUUAAAAUAAUGUUGUAUUCAAUAAGCAACCAACAGGUCACCAUAUAAUUAAUAUUUUCGAUUAAGUCAUUUCCAAGACAGCGCGUGAUUUUUAGCAGUUUUAACCGUAUAAUUGUUGAAAUCAACAGAAGUUGUGACAGCAAAAUUUAAGAAGAUCUGAGAAGCUGGUUCCCGCAAAAUGGAAUUGGAAUCAUUUUAGAUGAUAAUUAACGGAAUGUUAUGUCAGCUUCCGAAAACUUACGAUACAGAAAGCUUUUUGGUUUCACUGGUCAUACAAAUUGUGUAAAACCACAUAGUUUUAGCAUAAUUGUAUGGGUGCUUUAUAAAUCAGCCUCGUUCCAAUAUCCCAUUACCCUCGUUACAACUAAAUAGGAUAUCUUCAAAGCAUAUAAAUAAUUAAUUCGAUUUCUUAGCAUUCAUUGGCUGCGUCUCUUUUCCAUUUGAUGUUAUGUGCCUUCAACUUUAUCUUUACUUGACUGAAAUCAAAAACACCCUUCGACUAUUGCCGAAGACUAAUGAGUCACUGGUUAAUAACUUUGAAUUAUACCACGAUUUAUAACAAGAACACAUUGUGCACAGCAUUUUCGACAGACUGAGUUUUGUUAUAUCCUCGUACAACCAUUUUCGGAUCCCCUAAAGGGUUUUCCAGCAAAAAAUAUCAGCUAUGCUCAAGUCAUCAUAUUUUUUUGUUGAAUGACAAGAAAACAAAUAAUUGUUACAAAGCAAUCAAGCUUAUUUUGUAGUUUAUCAACACUUAAUAGCAUCUGUUCUGCUCAACAUACAUAACUUUCCACGAUGUUUUAAUUAUGCCAAACUUGACAAUAGGAAUGUCCUAUGCUUAAACAGUUGUCAUAAUGAAUUUAAAACGGUAUAACAUAUGAUCCGAUGGACGUUAACGUUUAAUUUUCAUCAACUAUGUCUAUGACGGAUUUUGAGUAUAUAAUGGGCAAAUAAGUACAUCUUUUUUCUACAACGUCCUGGUAUACAUGGUUAAGGACUUUGAGACCAUAGGGCCAGUAGUUUGUGGUAGUAGGGUCUUAAUGAAGCCUAAAGUGUUAUAUGUUUCUGAAAUUAGUUUAGAAAAAGAUAACUAAUUUGUUUAAAAUAGUAAAAAAAAUAACAAAGUAACCAGUUAUACCAUUUUAAUCCUUUUUAAAAUGCACAUUAGACCCAGUUUUGUUAAUCGGUGUUUGUUGUACAAUAUACUAUUAGCACGUUUAGAGCAAUGCUAUCCAUAGUAGCAGACAAACAAUUAUUUUGAAAAAAAGUCAAAUAUUUCCGUUUUAUUUGCUCGAUUUAUGAAUGGUAGAAUGUUGGAAUUGUAAA